rnacentral:rRNA from 2 species
UGGGCGUAAGAGCUCGUAGGCGGUUUGUCGCGUCUGCUGUGAAAUCCCGAGGCUCAACCUCGGGCUUGCAGUGGGUACGGGCAGACUAGAGUGCGGUAGGGGAGAUUGGAAUUCCUGGUGUAGCGGUGGAAUGCGCAGAUAUCAGGAGGAACACCGAUGGCGAAGGCAGAUCUCUGGGCCGUAACUGACGCUGAGGAGCGAAAGCGUGGGGAGCGAACAGGAUUAGAUACCCUGGUAGUCCACGCCGUAAACGUUGGGCGCUAGAUGUAGGGACCUUUCCACGGUUUCUGUGUCGUAGCUAACGCAUUAAGCGCCCCGCCUGGGGAGUACGGCCGCAAGGCUAAAACUCAAAGGAAUUGACGGGGGCCCGCACAAGCGGCGGAGCAUGCGGAUUAAUUCGAUGCAACGCGAAGAACCUUACCAAGGCUUGACAUACACCGGAAACGGCCAGAGAUGGUCGCCCCCUUGUGGUCGGUGUACAGGUGGUGCAUGGUUGUCGUCAGCUCGUGUCGUGAGAUGUUGGGUUAAGUCCCGCAACGAGCGCAACCCUCGUUCUAUGUUGCCAGCGGGUCAUGCCGGGGACUCAUAGGAGACUGCCGGGGUCAACUCGGAGGAAGGUGGGGAUGACGUCAAAUCAUCAUGCCCCUUAUGUCUUGGGCUUCACGCAUGCUACAAUGGCCGGUACAAAGGGCUGCGAUACCGUAAGGUGGAGCGAAUCCCAAAAAGCCGGUCUCAGUUCGGAUUGAGGUCUGCAACUCGACCUCAUGAAGUCGGAGUCGCUAGUAAUCGCAGAUCAGCAACGCUGCGGUGAAUACGUUCCCGGGCCUUGUACACACCGCCCGUCAAGUCAUGAAAGUCGGUAACACCCGAAGCCGGUGUCUAACCCUUGUGAA